rfam:Schistosoma mansoni strain Puerto Rico chromosome 3, complete genome
AUUCAGCUGAAGAGUCCCAAAUAGGACGAAAUGGCGCGCGUCCUGAAU